rnacentral:rRNA from 1 species
UACAGAGGGUGCAAGCGUUAAUCGGAAUUACUGGGCGUAAAGCGUGCGUAGACGGUUAUGUAAGUCAGAUGUGAAAGCCCCGGGCUCAACCUGGGAAUUGCAUUUGAGACUGUGUAGCUAGGGUGCGGAAGAGGGAAGCGGAAUUUCCGGUGUAGCGGUGAAAUGCGUAGAUAUCGGGAGGAACGCCAGUGGCGAAGGCGACUACCUGGCCUGUUCUUGACGCUGAGGCGCGAAAGCUAGGGGAGCAAACGGG